CUUUCUUUAGGUCGCCCGUCUCAUCGAUAAAUCAUCCUAAAUACAUUUAAACCACUAGACUUCAUUCACGAACACGGAGCAUUAGCAUUUUUUUCAUUACCACACUCCAAAUAAUUUUCCUGUACGUUUAUUAAAUACUUUUAUUAUAGGCGACCACUAUUAUUUUAAGAAAAAGCAACACAAACAAACAAACAAACAAUCCAAAACAAAAAAGCAAAACAACAACAACAACACGUGAGGUGCGUCGGGAGGCGCCCUGUCUCACGCUGUCCGGAACGGCAGGCAGGUUGGAUUUCUCACGGAAAGGGACCACAUCCCCAAAUCGCUCGUAAUUUCCUGAAAGCUGCUGCAUUCCAGAAAUUCCAGAAAGACAGGAGAGAGUUUGCUUCAAACUGCCUUCAUAGCCAAGAUACAGGAUACAUCGAGCUGGAGCCAAAAGGUUGAUGGUCCAGUGCCAUAAUGGCAACAGGACACUGCAGGUAUCCUCCAUCACCCAAUAGAAAGUACCCAGCUAAUGGAUACAGGAUCUGCUGGUGAUUUACACAAAACAAGUGUCUCAUGUAUAGAUCAUGGCUUCCAAGUGUACAUGGAUCCAGGCAGAAUAUUGUUGUACCCCUGGCAUCACAGAUGCCCUACAAUAUCAGUGAAUGGACAAUGGGUCUUUUGUGACUCUGCAGGAGGAAAAUGUAGAAUGUAGCAUUCAUUAAUGGCACCAACAGUACAGCAGAAUGCAACCUGACUGUCCAGGUGAGCUGGGAAAACCACACAUACAGGUGGAGCACAUUAAGGCAAGACAGGUAAUCAAUCAGGCGGGAAAGCAGACAAAGACCAAGAAAUGUAAAGACACCUGAGACAGAGGGCAAGUACAAACAAAUGACAGGAAAUGCCAUAAUAAAACAAGAAUGAACUGAAAUAGGAACUAACAGUGGGAGCUGGAUGUGACACUGAUAGAUCCAUCAAUGGGCUUUGUUCCAGUUCAGCAUCUGGACCAGCAUCUUAAUGUUCUCCCUGGACACCCUAAAGACUGCUGUCAAGCUAGCUCCAGACAAAAAUGUGGCAAGGACAGAUGCAUUGUUGUAGAUUGGUUAAAUAAGAGAAAUCUUAUCACAGAUUUUUGACAUUAUUCUUUAGCGGUUGCAAUAUUUGAUGUGUAUUAUAUUUGUGUGUUUUUACUAUUGUAUGAUCUGUAGAAAUAUAUCAAAAUUAAAUUUCACUUCAACUUUUGACUUGUUUUGUGAAACACCUGCUGAUGCUUGAUAAUUCUUUCUUUGCUUGAUAGCCAGUAUUUGUAAAAUGUAUGUAAUCUUUAGAGAAAGAUGAAAUUUGUGUUUAUUGCAGUGAUUAAUGAGCUCAAUGUGAAAGGCUUAUCAGACAGUAUGAUUUAUAGUAAGGCCGAUAAAUAUCUGGACAUUGACACAAUU
ensembl:lncRNA